rnacentral:sRNA from 1 species
GUACCUUUCAACAAGUCGUGAACCUCCUGGACAUCAUUGACAGCGAGUCAGCAAAGACUGACACGACAGGGGCAGGCCUUGAUAUGUGGAAGACCCUGGCCUCGGUGAUAAUCACAGAGAAGGCCACCACUGAGCCUUCUGUGGUGAUAAACACUCUCAUCCACUGCCUGCAGGUGCCAAAGCCAUGGAGACCUUCUGUGAGACGGUGCAGUUUUAUCUGAAGCACCUGGAGGAGAGCGUGUAUCCCGUGAUGACCGAGGAGCAGUUUGCCCUGAAGGUGUUCCCCAUGUAUCGCUACUUCAUGACAGUGUGGCUGAGGCACCACAA